CCCAAGAGAUCGGGAUAACACCUGGAAACAGAUGCUAAUACCGGAUAACAACAGAUGAUGCCUAUCAACUGUUUAAAAGAUGGUUCUGCUAUCACUCUUGGAUGGACCUGCGGUGCAUUAGCUAGUUGGUAGGGUAACGGCCUGCCAAGGCGAUGAUGCAUAGCCGAGUUGAGAGACUGAUCGGCCACAUUGGGACUGAGACACGGCCCAAACUCCUACGGGAGGCAGCAGAC
rnacentral:rRNA from 1 species